GGGGUUGUGGCUCAGUGGUAGAGCGCUUGCCUGGCAUACAUGAGGCUCUCGGUUCGAUUCUUAGCACCA
rnacentral:tRNA from 1 species